AUUGAACGCUGGCGGCAGGCCUAACACAUGCAAGUCGAGCGGAGCGGCGGACGGGUGAGUAAUGCCUAGGAAUCUGCCUGGUAGUGGAGGAUAACGUCCGGAAACGGGCGCUAAUACCGCAUACUAUCAGAUCAGCCUAGGUCGGAUUGGCUAGUUGGUGGCGUAAAGGCCUACCAAGGCGACGAUCCGUAACUGGUCGGAGAGGAUGAUCAGUCACACUGGAUCGUAAACACGGGCCAGACUCCUACGGGAGGCAGCAGUGGGGAAUAUGGCACAAUGGGCGCAAGCCUGAUGCAGCCAUGCCGCGUGUAUGAAGAAGGCCUUCGGGUUGUAAAGUACUUUCAGCGGGGAGGCGUUACCCGCAGAAGAAGCACCGGCUAACUCCGUGCCAGCAGCCGCGGUAAUUC
rnacentral:rRNA from 1 species